AUCUAGCCGACGAGUCCAAAAUAGGACGAAACGUGAGUCCUGGAU
rnacentral:hammerhead_ribozyme from 1 species